rnacentral:rRNA from 1 species
CCUACGGGCGGCAGCAGUGAGGAAUAUUGGUCAAUGGACGAGAGUCUGAACCAGCCAAGUAGCGUGAAGGAUGACUGCCCUAUGGGUUGUAAACUUCUUGUAUAUGGGAAUAAAAUGUUCCACGUGUGGGAUUUUGUAUGUACCAUAUGAAUAAGGAUCGGCUAACUCCGUGCCAGCAGCCGCGGUAAUACGGAGGAGCCGAGCGUUAUCCGGAUUUAUUGGGUUUAAAGGGAGCGUAGGUGGAUUGUUAAGUCAGUUGUGAAAGUUUGCGGCUCAACCGUAAAAUUGCAGUUGAAACUGGCAGUCUUGCGUACAGUAGAGGUGGGCUGCAUUCGUGGUGUUGCGGUUAAAUUCUUAGAUAUCAC